AACAAACUCAAAAUUAGGGUUUCAAAAACACAAAUCAAAUAAAAACAACAAAACGAGAGAUUUCUGCAACUCAAUAUCGAUUCACAGCUGAUAGAUUGUAGUGAAGGAGGUGGACAUCCGCGUUCUAACAACCCUAAUUUCCUCAUUUUUCAACUUCUUAUCCUCAAUUGCCGCUCCUAUCGAUUCAUCUUCGCUGAUUUACACAACGACGUUCGAUUUCCGAUCUUGAUAGGUUUAUGUUGAAUCUCUGCAAUAUAUAUGAAUAAUUGCAUUGAGAAAUGUCGCUUUUGCCAAA